rnacentral:rRNA from 1 species
UACGAAGGGGGCUAGCGUUGCUCGGAAUUACUGGGCGUAAAGCGCACGUAGGCGGCUCUUUAAGUCGGGGGUGAAAUCCUGGAGCUCAACUCCAGAACUGCCUUCGAUACUGAAGAGCUUGAGUCCGGGAGAGGUGAGUGGAACUGCGAGUGUAGAGGUGAAAUUCGUAGAUAUUCGCAAGAACACCAGUGGCGAAGGCGGCUCACUGGCCCGGUACUAACGCUGAGGUGCGAAAGCGUGGGGAGCAAACAGG